rnacentral:tRNA from 1 species
AGUAUUAUAGUUUAAUUAAAAUUUUAAAUUGCAAGUUUAAAGAUAGGCUAUUCUUAAUACUU